rnacentral:rRNA from 1 species
UACAGAGGGUGCAAGCGUUAAUCGGAAUUACUGGGCGUAAAGCGUGCGUAGACGGUCAUGUAAGUCGGGUGUGAAAGCCCCGGGCUCAACCUGGGAAUUGCAUUCGAGACUGCAUGGCUAGGAUGCGGAAGAGGGAAGCGGAAUUUCCGGUGUAGCGGUGAAAUGCGUAGAUAUCGGAAGGAACACCAGUGGCGAAGGCGCCUUGCUGGCCAAUUUCUGACGCUGAGGCGCGAAAGCGUGGGGAGCAAACAGG